ACGGAAGGCAGCAGUGGGGAAUAUUGGGCAAUGGGGGAAACCCUGACCCAUCAACGCCGCGUGAAGGAAGAAGGCAUUCGGGAUGUAAACUUCUUUUACCAGGGACGAUAAUGACGGUACCUGGAGAAAAAGCAACGGCUAACUACGUGCCAGCAGCCGCGGUAAUACGUAGGUUGCAAGCGUUGUCCGGAUUUACUGGGUGUAAAGGGCGUGUAGGCGGAGCUGCAAGUCAGAUGUGAAAUCCCGGGGCUCAACCCCGGAACUGCAUUUGAAACUGUAGCCCUUGAGUAUCGGAGAGGCAAGCGGAAUUCCUAGUGUAGCGGUGAAAUGCGUAGAUAUUAGGAGGAACACCAGUGGCGAAGGCGGCUUGCUGGACGACAACUGACGCUGAGGCGCGAAAGCGUGGGGAGCAAACAGGAUUAGAUACCCUGGUA
rnacentral:rRNA from 1 species